rnacentral:rRNA from 1 species
UGAGGAAUAUUGGACAAUGGAGGCAACUCUGAUCCAGCCAUGCCGCGUGCAGGAAGACUGCCCUAUGGGUUGUAAACUGCUUUUAUACAGGAAGAACCACACCUACGUGUAGGUGCUUGACGGUACUGUAUGAAUAAGGAUCGGCUAACUCCGUGCCAGCAGCCGCGGUAAUACGGAGGAUCCAAGCGUUAUCCGGAAUCAUUGGGUUUAAAGGGUCCGUAGGCGGGACAAUAAGUCAGUGGUGAAAGUCUUCCGCUCAACGGGAGAAUUGCCAUUGAUACUGUUGUUCUUGAAUUAGUAUGAAGUGGUUGGAAUGAGUAGUGUAGCGGUGAAAUGCAUAGAUAUUACUCAGAACACCUAUUGCGAAGGCAGAUCACUAAUACUAUAUUGACGCUGAUGGACGAAAGCGUAGGUAGCGAACAGG